AAGUCGUAACAAGGUUUCCGUAGGUGAACCUGCGGAAGGAUCAUUACAAAUCUUUUGCGGUAACUGUGUGCUGCCUUGGCAGUGCACGGUGACUAGCAACAUUAGCACAGGGUCGCAAGACUCUGAUGUUUACGCUUGUUUGUUUGACAGAGUUAGUUGAGAAAUAAAUAUAGACAACUUUUAACAAUGGAUCUCUUGGCUCUU
rnacentral:misc_RNA from 1 species